GACGACGACGUUGAUAGGCCGGAUGUGUAAGUGCAGCGAUGCAUUGAGCUGACCGGUACUAAUGACCCGAGAGGCUUAACCUUACAACACCGAAGGUGUUU
rnacentral:rRNA from 1 species